UACAGAGGUCUCAAGCGUUGUUCGGAUUCAUUGGGCGUAAAGGGUGCGUAGGCGGCGCGGUAAGUCGGGUGUGAAAUCUCGGGGCUUAACUCCGAAACUGCAUUCGAUACUGCCGUGCUUGAGGACUGGAGAGGAGACUGGAAUUUACGGUGUAGCGGUGAAAUGCGUAGAUAUCGUAAGGAACACCGAUGGCGAAGGCAGCCCCCUGGGCUGAGAUUGACGCUCAGGCACGAAAGCGUGGGGAGCAAACAGG
rnacentral:rRNA from 1 species